rnacentral:rRNA from 1 species
GACACUGUGUGUUGUUGGGUAGGGGAGCGUUCUGUAAGCCUGUGAAGGUGUGUCGUGAGGCAUGCUGGAGGUAUCAGAAGUGCGAAUGCUGACAUAAGUAACGAUAAAGCGGGUGAAAAGCCCGCUCGCCGGAAGACCAAGGGUUCCUGUCCAACGUUAAUCGGGGCAGGGUGAGUCGACCCCUAAGGCGAGGCCGAAAGGCGUAGUCGAUGGGAAACGGGUUAAUAUUCCCGUACUUGGUGUUACUGCGAAGGGGGGACGGAGAAGGCUAUGUUGGCCGGGCGACGGUUGUCCCGGUUUAAGCGUGUAGGUGUGUGUUCCAGGUAAAUCCGGUUCACUUUAACACUGAGGCGUGACGACGAGGCACUACGGUGCUGAAGCAACAAAUGCCCUGCUUCCAGGAAAAGCCUCUAAGCAUCAGGUAACAUCAAAUCGUACCCCAAACCGACACAGGUGGUCAGGUAGAGAAUACCAAGGCGCUUGAGAGAACUCGGGUGAAGGAACUAGGCAAAAUGGUGCCGUAACUUCGGGAGAAGGCACGCUGACACGUAGGUGAAGUGAUUUACUCAUGGAGCUGAAGUCAGUCGAAGAUACCAGCUGGCUGCAACUGUUUAUUAAAAACACAGCACUGUGCAAACACGAAAGUGGACGUAUACGGUGUGACGCCUGCCCGGUGCCGGAAGGUUAAUUGAUGGGGUCAGCGCAAGCGAAGCUCCUGAUCGAAGCCCCGGUAAACGGCGGCCGUAACUAUAACGGUCCUAAGGUAGCGAAAUUCCUUGUCGGGUAAGUUCCGACCUGCACGAAUGGCGUAAUGAUGGCCAGGCUGUCUCCACCCGAGACUCAGUGAAAUUGAACUCGCUGUGAAGAUGCAGUGUACCCGCGGCAAGACGGAAAGACCCCGUGAACCUUUACUAUAGCUUGACACUGAACAUUGAGCCUUGAUGUGUAGGAUAGGUGGGAGGCUUUGAAGUGUGGACGCCAGUCUGCAUGGAGCCGACCUUGAAAUACCACCCUUUAAUGUUUGAUGUUCUAACGUGGACCCGUUACCCGGGUUGCGGACAGUGUCUGGUGGGUAGUUUGACUGGGGCGGUCUCCUCCUAAAGAGUAACGGAGGAGCACGAAGGUUGGCUAAUCCUGGUCGGACAUCAGGAGGUUAGUGCAAUGGCAUAAGCCAGCUUGACUGCGAGCGUGACGGCGCGAGCAGGUGCGAAAGCAGGUCAUAGUGAUCCGGUGGUUCUGAAUGGAAGGGCCAUCGCUCAACGGAUAAAAGGUACUCCGGGGAUAACAGGCUGAUACCGCCCAAGAGUUCAUAUCGACGGCGGUGUUUGGCACCUCGAUGUCGGCUCAUCACAUCCUGGGGCUGAAGUAGGUCCCAAGGGUAUGGCUGUUCGCCAUUUAAAGUGGUACGCGAGCUGGGUUUAGAACGUCGUGAGACAGUUCGGUCCCUAUCUGCCGUGGGCGCUGGAGAACUGAGGGGGGCUGCUCCUAGUACGAGAGGACCGGAGUGGACGCAUCACUGGUGUUCGGGUUGUCAUGCCAAUGGCACUGCCCGGUAGCUAAAUGCGGAAGAGAUAAGUGCUGAAAGCAUCUAAGCACGAAACUUGCCCCGAGAUGAGUUCUCCCUGAGACUUAGAGUCUCCUGAAGGAACGUUGAAGACGACGACGUUGAUAGGCCGGGUGUGUAAGCGCAGCGAUGCGUUGAGCUAACCGGUACUAAUGAACCGUGAGGCUUAACCUU